ACCCAUCAGUAUGGUGGAUAUGACCUUCGGCUGGUAACCGAGAGUGGGCUCGGGUUCGAAUCCCGAAUUAGGUGGGGA